rfam:Myotis davidii contig221587, whole genome shotgun sequence.
GAGACACACUUAUGGGGUAAGACUUGCUUCAGCGGGGCUUUGAUGCUCACUGAGUCUGCCCCCUGAGUGUGUCCCU